GGGUGUGUCACUACGCUCUACAUCAUUACGCGGCCACCGUAUCUGUAUGGCCGCGCACCACUCGUCAUCUGGGGGAGGAGCCUCUGCCUAGCUUCCAAGUAUCUCAACUCCAAUGCAAAUGGACCGGGGACCGGAGUAUUGAAUGAAAGCCAGAGGCGGUACAACUUUAGCUUUUGCCUCCGACUCCUACAGCAGCAGCAUAUUCCUCGUCCUUGAUGAAAAGUGGUGCACUGCUGGAUGCAGCUACAUGGUGUGGUCCGCACCAGUCCGUGCACUGCUGGACAAAGGAGGUGAGCUGAGUAUUCGUUCACAGCUUUUAUUAUAUGUAUGUAUGUAUGAUGUGUGGGAGGGUACAGCAUAUAGCAUGGUUAUUUUUGAAGGUUUAUAAAGGUGACAACAUUAUAUUCAGGGGGUACAGUAUUUAGCAGCAUAAUAAUGAUUAUUGUCUUCAUACAGAGGAUGAGGAUCUACUGACAAAGUGAGGAGCCUAUGAUGUCCGGGUGUCAGACUCUGCAGAGAAGAUGGAGCGGGAAGACGUCCUGACAUCUGGACCAGAUGAAGAAGGAAAGAAAAGAUAACAGAGAAGACGUCACUCAGGUCACUGAUAUCAUUGUGUAUCAGCUGGAGUCACUUGUAACCAGCAGUUUACCUCAUACAGCAUUGUGGCUGGUCUGCAUCAUGGUUUAACCUGCCUGUGUACCAGUAUCUAAAUCACUUAUAUGAGGAGGCAACAUACAACUACCGGGAAGUGAAGACAGAUAUCAGCGAAAAGGACGGUGGCUGGCUGGCUGACUCCGGUUUGCGCCAUCCUGUUUGGAAGUGGUCCCCCGGGUUAUCCUGGGGUUCUGCUCCGUUCAGGAGUGGGACCGCCUGUGUGCGAAUUGCACAUAGUGCGGACCCAGGUGCAUCACACGCCAUUACAGUGACCUGUCUCACCCGGGAAAAGCAAACAGAUUAGUGGCAGUGUAACCCCGCACAACCCAUGGACCUCCAAUCAGAAGAAUCCAAGCUCACCACAAACAGAUGACCAGAUGACCAAUGCUUCUAAUGGAGUGAAGAAGGCUACCCAUUCCUCAGCAUUCAAUGAUUGGAAGAUGACAAGGAUCAGGACUGGGUUUGGAUGACAUCGCGAGACAGGAGAACCCAGAACCAAAGGAUUCCCUCCAACAUAUUUUGGAAAAGGCUUUUGGACACCACAAAGGACGUUUUAAUUAAACUGUCUCCAGAGAAGCUAAAAAUGAGGACAGUAGCUGGCAACAGUAUAGUCGGUGCUAUAGCUACAUAGUGAACAAUGUGGGUGACAUAAACCAUGAUCUAUGUAAGCUGACAGCAAGAAUCUAGGGAUACCUACUGUAAACUUAUUAACUUGUGAAUACUGAGUUUAGAGGAUUAGCAAUCCAGCAUGCAACUCUAAUGUGGUUUUCUGGUAUUAGGAUCAAGAGGUGGAAUGUUCUGGACAUGAAAAUGACAUACAUUUUAUUUGCUAUAUUUGUGAUCCUAGACCAAGAAAGCCACAUCGGUUUAGACAAAGGAAAGAUGGAGUCUCUUACCUGGGAUCUCCUAGUCAUGUUCAAAGGGGGCAAAUAGGUGGGAUUUUGUAACAUUAGACAAAGACCACCUGUGGGUGGGCUAAGGGGCGGAGAAAACAUAAAAGCCCAUUGAAAGGGGCCAAGCUCGCUCUUUCUCUUCCUGGGCUGCAUACCAACACACCUUUCCAUUUAACUUCCUGUUGGGCCUGAAUCCUGAAACAAAGGACUGCAGCCUUUCCCCAUGCCUGGCAUUUGUUCAUCAUACUUGCAGUAAAAGGUUCCCCGAAGCUAAGUAUUUCAGUAUUAUAUUCUUUGUGUGAGAUAUAUAUAUAUAGUUGUAUAACCCACCUAUAUAGCCAAUUUUAGGGUUUCUACUAUAAUUGUAUAUGUGUUUCCUUACACUGCAGAUUUAAGUUUAUAGCUAUUUAUAAAGUCUUUUUCUCUUUUUUCUCUUUUAGUAAGAGUGUGUUUUAGUUAGUUGUAUAUUAAACAUCUUUAUUUCUGCCAGUAUUUAUAUGUGUAGUGUUGAUUUCUGCAUUGGAUAUUAGGAUAUAACUCCUCCAAAAUUCCUAAAAUAGUCUGUGGGGAGUUUAUGAAUGCAUUUGGUAGUACUGUUCACCUAAGUGUCUAUGCACCUGGUCUGUGAAUAUAUUGUAUUCACAUGACCGCAUGGUGGCAGCCAUUUUGGUCGGACAUUUUGUGUCUCAGAUGCAUGGUCUGCAGAUUUUAACUGGUCGUAUAACCUUUGGAGCCAAGUCCAAUUCGACCCCAAAGCCACGAACCACAACAGGUAGCAAGGAACAGGUACACAGUAAUAGAGACACAGAACUUUCACUAUGGUAAUAGACAACCAAAGAUCCGGCAGGGAACCAAGGGAGGAGCUGAUAUUUAAGGACCAGGGUGCAGGUGUAGACACUUAAUUAAAUGAGCACUGGCCCUUUAAGAGUGAGAGCUCCAACGCGCGUGCCCUGGGAGGCGGGGGCACGUGCGCCGGGGCUACGCGGACACGGAGAUGUGGGAGGUGAGUGACAAGCUGGGAUUCGCAUGCGUGCACGUCCCGUGAUGCGAAACCCAGCCCCGCCAGCAGCGGGGACAUGAGCAAAGAGCGCUUACGGCCGGCAUGUCCACUGCACAUUUCUUGUCUUGCCAGAGAGCCGGAGCACAGGCAUUACAAAAGUAUUGGCACAUCCUAGCAAUACUUCAUCUUUAAGUUUAUAUUACUGACACUUUCAAAGGUAUAGGUAAUAUCCUUGUAGUAUAGUUAAUUAAAUAAAUGUAUAAUUGUACAAUGCGUUUUG